rnacentral:piRNA from 1 species
UAGAUGGAUUUCCAGCCUCCAGAGCUGUGA